GAUGAACGCUGGCGGCGUGCCUAAUACAUGCAAGUCGAGCGAACGGACGACAAGCUUGCUUCUCUGAUGUUAGCGGCGGGCGGGAGAGUAACACGUGGAAAACCUACCUAUAAUACUGGGAUAACUGCGGGAAACCGGCGCUAAUACCAGAUGAUAGUUUGAACCGCAUGGUGCAAAAGGGAAAUAGGGUCUUGCUGGCACUGAUAGCUGUAUCCGCGCUGCAUUAGCUAUGUGCUAAGGUAACGGCGUACCAAGGCAACGAUGCAUCGCCGAACUGAGAGAGUGGUCGGCCACCUUGGAACUUAGACACGGUCCAGACUCCUACGGGACGCAGCAGUAGGGAAUCUUCCGCAAUGGGCGAAAGCCUGACGGAGCGACGCCGAGUGAGUGAUGACGGUCUUCGGAUCGUAAUAAUCUGUUAUUAGGGAAGAACACAUGUGUCCGUCACUGUGCACAUUCUGACGGUAGCUAAUCAGAAAGCAACGGCUAACUACGUG
rnacentral:rRNA from 1 species